UACGGGGGGGCGAAGCGUUGUUCGGAAUUACUGGGCGUAAAGGGCUUGUAGGUGGCCAACUAAGUCAGACGUGAAAUCCCUCGGCUUAACCGGGGAACUGCGUCUGAUACUGGAUGGCUAGAGUGUGGGAGAGGGAUGCGGAAUUCCAGGUGUAGCGGUGAAAUGCGUAGAUAUCUGGAGGAACACCGGUGGCGAAGGCGGCAUCCUGGACCACGACUGACACUGAAAAGCGAAAGCCAGGGGAGCAAACGGG
rnacentral:rRNA from 1 species